GGGGGUGUCUUUUUGUCUUUGUAGGGCCACACCUGCGGCAUAUGGAGGUUCCCAGGCUAGGGGUCCAAUCCCAGGUGGCUGGCCUACACCACAGCCACAGCAACGUGGGAUCCGAGCCGCAUCUGCCACCUACACCACAGCUCACGGCAAUGCUCCAUUCCCCAACCUGCGGAGCGAGGCCAGGGAUCAAACCUGCAUCCUCAUGGAUGCUCGGCGGGUUCACUAACUGCUGAGCCACGACGGGAACGCCAGCUUUCGAGAUGCUGACAGCCUUAGCGCCUGGUUGUGGACAAGCCCACGCAGGCUUCAUGAGGCCGGGUGUCCCCCACACAGCAGCCCAGGGCCCUGUCCUGGUCAGUUCUUGACUCCUCCAGAUUUUAGGGGACUGGGGAGAACGCUGCAGGGCAGACAGUGCAUUUCUGUGUGUCUGAGUUGAUAGGUUUUAGUUUCUCCGGGGACCCGUUAAGGGCCUUUGAUUGGAAGCCUCUCAGGUUCCCAAAGACCCAGCCACCACCGGUGUGUGUGGUGGGGGUGGAGGGGGGACAGGAGGGGAGGGGGCUUCCUUCCCCUUCCCCGGGGGAGGGGCUGCUGCCGUGGGGCAAAGUGAACCUUCGUGCCCAGCUUCGUUCCUCUCUGUUUCCUGAGGUCGUAGCAGUCUAGGUUCCAAUUACAUUCCCACAAUAACGAGCCCGUUACAGUAAGUGAACAUUUUCAAGUGCAACCAAAUGAGCAUCCACUGAAUAUGCUGGCACCUAGUCAUUUUCCUUUUGCAGAAGGAAAGAAGCAGACUCUGGGUGAAAAGAGGUCGUCUGUGACAAGUCAGAGCAAGGAUGAGAAUGCAAAGGUGUUUAGCAUGGCUCCUGGCCUCGGUUCCAUCAAGGCUGUGGGGACACAGAUCUGUGGAACUUUCCUGCAAGUGCCGAGGCUCCCUGCCCAGACCGCGUCAGGCUGGCCGUGUUUCUAAAUAAAGUCACAUUCUGAGGCCCCAGGGGGUUUAGACUUCAGCAUGAGUCGGGGGAGGACAUUCAGCCCGCAAGGCCCUGGAGAGUCAGGGUCUGCCAAGGACCCCUGCUGGGUGCUGCCCUGACUGCAGGGCAGGGGUCCUGUCAGCCGGGAGCCCAGACCCCCGAGUGGGGACACCAGCCAGCUUUGCACAUGUCGCAGGAAUUUCAAGCUCAAUCCAGCCACUGCUUCUAGGAGACACUGAAGCUCCUGGAUUGAAGACCUGCUGUCCGGCCACCCUCGGAGACCCGUGGCAGACGUGGAGCCAGCAGGAAAGAGCAGCCCCCUGCCCUGGCACAGGCUCCGGCCUCUCCAUGUCAGUCCAGGGGGCAGAGCCCGACGCGGUCAGCAGGGGAGGCGGGGGUGGGGUGGGGUGGGGGGUUCUGCAGAGCAGAGGGCGGGGGUGGGGGGGGGGAGCUUCGGGCAAAGCUCCCCCUCUGGCCACUUGGCAUCCAGAUGCACCAUCCACUGUCUGAAUCCCAGCCUUGCGCCCAGAAUAGCUGUGUCUCCACCUGACAAGGAGCCACAGUGCUGGGAACAAAGCUGUUCCCUCCUAAGGGGGGGAAAAGCGGUGCCCGCCGCAUCCCUCAGGGAGGCAGGCUGUGCUCCUCCAGGCGAUGGAAUUUCUCCUCAGACGCAGCGGCAGGCCCACCAGAAGGUUCCAUCCCUUACAGACUAGCUGGUAAAUUUCCCUCCAUCAAAACCUGUAUAAAAUGACAAGGGCCCAGAGGGGCAAGAAGAAGAAAAAUUGUAUAUACAAUGUGUAAUGCAUAAAUUAUACUUAUAAACACAUGUACUAUAUAAAUCACACACACACAUCAGAUAAAUAUAUGAAAAAAUGUGCCACUGGAACCAGAACUGCUGCCCUUCCCAUUUCUGUAAAUGAUCAUGAGACCAUAGUUGCAUAUUUUUAAGUAUCUUUGUUGACAUAUAAUUUAUGUAUCAUAAAAUUCAUCUAUUUAAACUGUACGUGCAAUGGUUUUUGGUACGUUUACAGAGUUAGGCAACCACCACCACAAACAUUUUAAUCACCCCCAAAACAGACCCUGGACAGUCCACUCGCCCCCCGCCCUGUUCCCUGGAAACCGCUAAUCUCCUUUCUGUCUGAAGACAUUUGCCUGUUCUGAAAUUUUACAUUUUGUCUCCAUGAAAUGAUACAAUAGCGGUCUUUUAUGACCAAUGUCUUUCACUUGGCAUGACGCUUUCAAGGUUCCUGGUUUUUCUCAUAGUUGAUAUUUAUACUGGCUUAGUCACUGGUACAAUGUGUAAUAAUAAUGCUUCUUCUACGGAGUUGUUCUGGGGAGGGAGGGAGUUAAUGCACAUGAAAUUCUCGGGAUACUGCCUGACAGAGUUAGUGCCUCAUAAAUUAAGCUAUUAUUGAUUGUAUUGAUUGCUUCACCUGGUAUAGAAAUACUUGCAGAGAUAACAUUAAAAGUUUCCUAUUCUGGCCUUACUGAAACACCAUCAGAUAUUUUUUGGCUCUUUUUUUUUUUUUUUUUUAAGGGCCAAACCCGUGGCAUAUGGAGGUUCCCAGGCUAGAGGUUGAAUCGGAGUUCAGCUGCUGGCCUACGCCACAGCCACACGGGAUCCGAGCCACGUCUGCAACCUACACCACAGUUCACGGCAACCCCAGAUCCUUAACCCACUGAGCAAGGCCAGGGAUCGAACCCAAGUCCUCGUGGAUACUCAUCCUGGUUGUUACCACUGAGCCCCACCGGGAACUCUCAAAUAUUUUUAAAAUAUAGCGUCUUCAAAAGAAAAAGUAGUGAAGUGAGGGUUUUCCUUGUUGCGUCCUGUGUGGCCUCUGGGUUCAUGACUGUCGCCUAGUUCAGCUGCGACACAAGGUUGUCCGGCAGGUGUCAGACCCACUCGGAAGUGCAUUCUUAUAUUUCUCUGUGAAACUCAGGUCCCCCACGGCGUUCUACAUAUCGGAACUAAAAUGUGUAUUAUCUUUAUGCCUUUCCUGUUUUAUGCUUUUUUCUCCCCAAAUAAUCUUACCACGUCUGAGGCUUUGUCGCACUCAUACGAGAAGCUAAGGGUGUGUUCAGAGUCCUCUCAGAGAGAAGGACUCAGGCUAGAAACCACCUGAAGACGGGGACUGUUCUCCUUGGGUACACUUUUUGUCAAUUUUUUAGUAGCUUUUAAAAAAUUUAACAAUAUUGCCCCAAACGCCUCAAUACGUGGCCUGGGAUCAGAUGACCAGGUCCCUCUGCAGGCCCACGACCCCCGCAUGUUCAUCCUGGGCGGCUCUCUCCCCAGCUCCCGACUCCUGAAUCUCACCCCCACCGAAUUUCUCGAGGAUGAAGCCUGCAUCCAGGGUGAGUGUCCCCGCCCGUUAAGGGGCCACCCGCCUGCCGGUUGCUGGGGAAGCUCGGGGGUCUCCCGGCUCUCCCACGCCACACCUUGUCAGGGGACAUCCUUCUGGCUCCACCUUCCUGUGACAACAAACCCAGAAUCUGACCCCUCCUCACUGUGGCCACCCCCCCCCCACCCAUUGCUUCCUUUUCUGGCCUCUGCCUCCUGCAAACAGCUCCCUAGGUCUGGGGUCUGCGGCCACGGCCACCUUUCCCGUCGCACCAGUCCUCUGCUCCAAGCCUGCUCCCCGUCCUCGGGGAGCUUCGAGGUCCCGGGAUCUGCCUGCCGUGCUGAGCACUUACCUCCUGCACGCCAGCUCCAGGCCCCGUGUGGUCCAGCUCCGCUGGUUCUCAGCAUCGCCCUUCUGCCCAGAAUCCUCACUAACUCCCACCCCUUCCAGGUUUAGCUCAAUGUCAGUGUCGCCUUCUUGGAAGCUGCUCUGCCUACUCACUCCACGAAUGACCUUCAGGUGACCUUGCGCUUCCCUCCCAGCCCCGACUUUGCACCCAUCCGCCUUCCUCCCCUACGUGUGAGCUCCCUGGGGGCAGGAGCUCGGUCUGCGAGGCUCACGGAUGACUCCUGUGUAUGGAAACAGGGUCGGGCCCACAGCGAGGGCUCCCAAACCGUGCCAACAAAUGAACCAACAGGACAGGGCGGUCAUCACGGGUUUGGAAAAAAUGCAACCUGGCAGUUGAGAGUUGUUUUACUUGGGGUGAAAUUAGGACAUAAGCCCGGGAGACAGCCUCUCAGGGGGUCCCGAGAAACCGCUCCGAGGAGGCGAGGGGGGAGCUGGGGUCUAUGAGUUUUUGCGACAAAGGGAAGGUAGCAGGAGCAAGGGGUUUAGGGAUAUAACGGGACUCACAGGAAACCCAUUGCUAUGGGAAGACGUCAGGUCUGGGCUCACAGGACUCGCCCUCCUCAGGCUGUCCUGAGUGCCCUCAGGGUCACCGGCCCGCCCUUGGGAGCGGCUGUCCUCACAGGUGACCAGACAUCUUGUGUUCUGCCCACUAACUACAGCCCAGGAGGCAGCACCUCGGGGAGCUCUGAAGCACCGCCCCAGAGAGGCGGGGGGACAUCACGACGGCUGCUGCCAGUCACAGACAGCGGGCAUCGCCGACAGAUUUCAGUGCUUUUCGAGAUAGGACGAGAUGCAAAAUUGGGCUCAAAAACCCUUCUCCUAAAAACAUCUAACUCUCUGAAGACCCAGCUGUUCUUCCAGCGCUUCCCAGAGCACAGAGGGGCCCUCCUGGUCUCCACCCUGAGCCCCAGUCAGCGGGGCCGCGGGCGGGUCGGCAGCUGCGGUGGCACGUGAUUUAGUCCAUGCAGGGCUGAUGGCAGGUGCCGCGGUCGCAGUCUUUCCUAAUCUUCAUGUGUCCCCUCUUCUUCUGAUUUUGCACAGAACGUGAUUACAUAUAGUUGGAUAUUUCCGUGACUAAUUCAACAUGUGUGUCACAUGUUAUAGCAAGACCUGAGCGCCUUUCGCCGUGACGGGCCCGGGAGCAAAUAUUCUAGGUGUUGGAGGUCACGUUCUGUCUCUUAGCUUGUGGGCUGUUUAAAACGCGCAGGAUUAUGAUUAAGAUAACAAGUACCCCAUCGAUGGGCCAAUGAGCUAUUUCCAGUCUCAGCGAUUAUAAGCUGUACAGCUGACAUUUAACUAAUAAAUUUUGUCUCUUACAUUUACUUCAAGUUUUUUCCUGUUUCAUUGUUUUUCUUAUAAUCUCUUUUCCUUUAUUAUUCCUUUCACUGAUUAAGAAGUAAAUGAAUGAUUUCUGUAUGAUAGCUUAAAUUCAUUAUUUGUCUUCAAAACCAGUCUACCAUUGAUAUUUUAAUAUGAAAAUUACACACAAGAAAUUUGAAAAAGAGAAAAAUGUAAAGAAAACACAAGUCACUAGAAGAUGUGACACAGAGUGGCCAUGUUUCACGGACUUUUUCCGAUCGUUUCUCUGUAUAUGCGCUUUAGAAAGAAUCAGCCACAUCAAGAUAAUGCUGUAUGGACACAAUCUUGAGUCUUGAAUUUCCCCCCUUAAUCAUGAGCGUGUUUUCCAGUAAAACCAGUUACAUGCCUACAUAAUGUAGCGUUAUAUAGUCACUUAUAACUAUUAUAUCUAUUUAAGCUACUGCCGUGUUUUACACAGUUUUUCUGAAUUUCUGACUGCUUUUUCAGAUCGGUGCCGGAAAGGGACUGUGCUUUUCUGGUUUCCUCUCAAGAAAGGCGUUUCCAGAGGGUGGGCGAUGCUCCGUCCUCUGAGCUCAGCAGGGCCUGCACACCAGGCACAAGGGGAGACGGCGACCAGCCGUGGUGCUAACAGCCCCGGCCCUGUGGACGGCUCCGGCCCUUCUCUGGCCGUCCUGGGAGGGCCGUCCAGGAGCACCGCGUUCCCGUCAAAUGCUGGUUCAGGUCUUGGCUCUGUCAUUAGUAGUGGGGACGGUGGCCAAGUAAUUUCCUUAUUUUCCUCGUCCUUCCGGGGGCUGCUGUGGGGCGGGGGUGGCAGGAUGCAGGCACGUGCUGCCCAGCAGCUCGGGGAGCAUUGGAGUGAGAGGCAGCCGCUCCGAUCUGUUCAUCCUCCGAGGUGGUUCUUUCUCACACACACACACUCACACACACACACACUCCUUAAUUCUUUUCUUUUCUUUCUUUUUUUUUUCUUUUUUUUGUAAAGUUUAGACUUUGGUAACUUUUCUCAGCUCGUUGCAUUUUCAAUUAGAUAAAGUUUUCCUUACUUUUAUCCUCCGGCGUUAUUUUUGGCGUCACCUCAUUGCCGCUUUAUUACAAGAAGGCGUUGACUUUGAUCAAGGCCUCGGAUCUGUUCUGACUCACAG
rnacentral:lncRNA from 1 species